rnacentral:rRNA from 1 species
UACGUAGGGUGCAGGCGUUAAUCGGAAUUACUGGGCGUAAAGCGUGCGCAGGCGGUUUGCUAAGACAGGUGUGAAAUCCCCGGGCUUAACCUGGGAACUGCACUUGUGACUGCAAGGCUGGAGUACGGCAGAGGGGGAUGGAAUUCCGCGUGUAGCAGUGAAAUGCGUAGAUAUGCGGAGGAACACCGAUGGCGAAGGCAAUCCCCUGGGCCUGUACUGACGCUCAUGCACGAAAGCGUGGGGAGCAAACAGG